rnacentral:rRNA from 1 species
CCCAGACUCCUACGGGAGGCAGCAGUGGGGAAUAUUGCACAAUGGGGGGAACCCUGAUGCAGCGACGCCGCGUGGGUGAAGGAGUACUUCGGUACGUAAAGCCCUAUCAGCAGGAAAGAAAAUGACGGUACCUGACUAAGAAGCCCCGGCUAACUACGUGCCAGCAGCCGCGGUAAUACGUAGGGGGCAAGCGUUAUCCGGAUUUACUGGGUGUAAAGGGAGCGUAGACGGCAGUGCAAGUCCGGAGUGAAAGCCCGGGGCUCAACCCUGGGACUGCUCUGGAAACUGUAAAGCUGGAGUGCGGGAGGGGCAGGCGGAAUUCCUGGUGUAGCGGUGAAAUGCGUAGAUAUCAGGAGGAACACCGGCGGCGAAGGCGGCCUGCUGGACCGUAACUAACGUUGAGGCUCGAAAGCGUGGGGAGCAAACAGGAUUAGAUACCCGGGUACA